ACUUCCUUUCUCUUUUCUCUGAGGAGGCAGCUUUCUGUCUCUCUGUCUCUGUCUAACUCUCUCUUUUCCCUUCCCUUAGUCCCUUGCCUUUCCCAAUAAACUUUCCACAUAAGUCACGUCUGGAGGUCUCUGUCUGAAUCUCUCACUUGCCGUGGGAACCAACACAGUCCCCCCUUCAUGCCACAUUGUUCUACUCUCCACAUAACCUCUAAUGUGCUUCCUCCACAGAGACCCUGAUGGUGUGAGCACUCACUGCCCCAUCCAAGGAGAUGUGCUAAGCAAUCACAGUCGAUAGGCACCCACCAUGGCAUUGCUGUCCUGUCAGGGGACGUCCUUGUGAAGCAAGUGUGUUGCCCAUAGUAGGGGGCCAGCUUGUCUUGAUGCAUUCUGUAGCGAUGCAUAGACGAGUUUCUUCCUGAAACCGAAGGCCUGCUGAGCCUGCCCCGCUGUGGGAAUUCCUUCCACAAAGUCCCAGCUGCAGACUGGUCCACAUCGAAAAUCUAGACCUGAACAGCUGCUCACACUGGGAGUCUACUGAGAGGCCACUGUUGCCGAAAAUAGCCUGUCAGUCCUGUGUUCACACCCGGAGGUGGCCUCUCUCCUCCCCUGGCCUGGCUGAGAGCUCACUGUGUUACUGGGAGUCACCAACGAAGGUUACCAGGCUGGUGCCCCAAUCUGACUCCUUCCACAGCUUCGAGAAAAUACCAUAAUUACAUUUUAUGUUUAACCAGAGAUUUCUUGUCAUCUGAAUGUCUUGCAAAAUAAGACCAGAUAUUGCUCCUCUAAAUGCUAAGGGGACAUCUCCGCCGGAAACCCUCAAGUUCUCAGUAAUCUAUGCGUUCUCUAGAUUUUCUUGAAACACAAUGAAACCCGAAGAACAACUGCCUGCACACACAUGGCCUCUGGUCUCCACUGUCCCUAAGGCUUCAUGGUCAUGGUCACCAUCAUGCCUCAUUUGGCACCAGAGAAAAACAGCUAUGAUUAAUGUACCGGCUAGUUUUAUGUCAGCCUAACUAACACAAGCUAGAGUGGUUUUUGGAAGAAGGAAACUGAAGUGAUAAAAUGCUUAUUCCAGAUGGGCUGGUGGGAAUUCACUUGAUUGAUGAUUGCUGUGGCAGGGUCCAGCCCACUGUGGGCAGUGUCUUAAAAAUCAGGCUGAACAAGCUGCGAGGAGCAAUCUAGUAUACUGCAACCCCCCCCCCCAACCAUGGCCUGUGCAUCAGCUCACGCCUUUGGGUUCCUCCACUGCUUGAGUUCCUUUUUUGACUUUGGAAUUGGAGACCUUUUUAAAAAUGUGAAAUAGUCAUCAACAGGAUCCUCUAAGUGCUAAGGGGACACCUGUGCUGAAGACCCCCCCUCUCUCAAGCUCAGGUCCUCCGUAAACUACUCAUUCUCUUCAUUUUCUUGAAAAACAAUGAACCCAAAGAGCAGCUGCCUGCACAUAUGUGGUCUUUAAUCUCCAUUGUUUCUGCCCUGGUUUCCCUCAGUGGUGAACUGUUACCUGGAUGUGUAAACAGAAUAAACACUUUCCUCCCCAA